rnacentral:lncRNA from 1 species
ACUCGCUGACGGCCCCUGCGGCCAAAGCCUUUGUAUUCUCUUGUAAUGAUCGCAACGUUCUUACGCGGACUCGAAAUAAGAUCUACUGUUUUCUCUAAACUCGUUUGUUAUCUUUUCAUGAUUUCCGCAUAUAUUCGAUCAUUUGUCGUUGGCUCUCGCAGAGAUCCGGGACCUCUGGGAAAUUAGGGUUUUCCUAGUUUCCUUAUUUAAACGGAAAUCGACAGUGCGAAUUUCGGUUCCCACAGUUUGGCGCUAGAAGGAGGGG